ensembl:snRNA U6 U6 spliceosomal RNA
GUGCUUGCUUUGGCAGAAUAUAUACUAAUACUGGAACAAUAUAAAGAAGAUUACUUAUUAGCACAGCCCCUGUAAAAGGAUGACAUGCACAUUUGUGAUGACUUCACAUUUGUA